UACAAUUGACUUCAGGGGUUCCAGAAACAACAUACAGAGAUAGACUCCACCAGAAGAGGUAAUUUCUGUCCAUAGAUUAAAGCCUCCUAUCUGCCAUAUACCUCAUUUCUACCUGAUUGUCACUGUCUUCACAGCUCCAGCCCAGAUGCUACCAUCAAUGAAAAAUACCUGUGUGAGAAUAACAGAGAUCUGGGGAAGGGGAUUAUUUAGACCUCAGAAUCAGAGAACUGAUGGGGAGGGUCUUGGAUCAGCACUUGGAGAGAAAGAACUUUCACAAUGGAUCUAGAAAUGUCACCACAUUCCCUGAUUCUCUCUCUCCUUGGGACAAGGAAACCCAUGGGACAAGGACAUGGGUCUGAGUCAAAGAGAUACCAGACCCUGUAGCUAAGAAUUGCCUCCUUUCUUCUGACAUGACAGAUGCUUCUGUGAAAAACACACAAUCUGAGGACAAUGGAGAGCUGGACAGUUGGAACCCACCUGAUAAAGACCCCCAUGGAAUUGUGUACGCCCAGGUGAAACCCUCCAGACUUCGGAAGGAUACUACAUCCUGGAGACCCAAAGAGACCCAGGUUGUAACCUACGCCCAGUUGUGCAGCAGGACUCAGGAAUAUGACAACCGCUGAGACCAGCAAGCAGCCAAAGCAAGAAGAAGACCCAGACCCAACAUUCCAUGAAUGAAAACUAGAAAUUUUCUAAGACAGUAUUUGUUUCCAGUGGACUCUGUUUAAUUAAUGGCAGCCAUCAUGAAUCAUGGGUCAUCAGAAACUUCUUAGAAUUUUGGGAAUACACUUUAUUCUUUGUUCAGAGAUAACAAAUAUCCUUAUAUUUUGUAAAUAAAGCUAAAUCUUUCUCAAUAAACAAUUCAUAAAGUGAGAAACAAAUGAAGUGAA
rnacentral:lncRNA from 1 species